rnacentral:siRNA from 1 species
CCGACCUUUUUGGUAGCCUGGUC